AGUCCUGUAACCAGGCUGCCACUUUGCUCUGGCCCGUCGUGCAGGUCGCAGGGAGGCUGUUGCUGCAUGGCAAAGGGGACUGCCAUGGAAAGCUGUUUGGUGGCACCUACAAUGAACGAAGGGGAGUGUACGGGUGAGCAGAAACAGUAUAUCUAAAAACGUUAGCAGCUGGUGAGGAUUCAGCUGUAGAGGUUGAAGGAAAUAUGUGAAAACUAGCAUCUCUCGGUGACCUGACAAUUUCAUUCUGCCGAUAUAAUCGAUGAUGGCGCAGUUUGGAGACCCAGGCAUCAAACCAGUCCUGGGAUUUCACCUAAAACAAAGAACAAGAGGAGAUCCUAAGGGUGAAACCCAUCUCUGGUUUACCACUGACACAGG